rnacentral:lncRNA from 1 species
GGAUUACAGGUGUGAGCCACCGCACCCAGUGGCUUUUUGCUUUUUCUUUAAGUUUAUUCCUUUAUCUGUGAACUCUUGAUUUCAUAAAUCCUCUUCUUUUCCCUUUUAUUUUUUCUGGUAUGGUCCUGAAAUGUCUUCUGUGGUCUUCCUUCAAAUUUCAGCUUCCCUUUCCAAUUAAAUCUUCAUUCAUGUACCCACGCCUGAAUCUUAACCUUCAAAGUUACACUCAAGGCAAGGACUUCCCCUGUUUCUCAACAAAGAGAUGGGUAUCAAUGGAUUUCCAAAGCAUCCCUCUGUUCUACACAUAUGUAUCUUUUUUCCCCAACUAAAAUGUAGAAUGAUUGAGAACAGGGUCUGUUUUUAAUUUCUUUUUUAUCUCCCUGCCCUACAGCACCUGCUCUACAAAGUAAUUCUCAAUAAAUAAUCACUUCUGACCACAUGUAGAAGAUUAACAAUUCAUAAAUGUAUAAUUCUAUUGAAUGGAAAUGGAAAUCCUUAGAUUGGGGGUGGGGUCACCAUUGUUACUGCUAACAUUUUUUAGCAGUUAUUAAUCCAGCAUUUCAUGUAAUCCUCAUACUGAAACCACCUUUGGGAAAUUAUGACAGUAAGAGAAAUCUACAUGGCUGACUCCAUCUUGCUUCUAGCCUCACAAGUUGGCUCUCUUUGCUUAUGCCUUGGUGUGGGUCAAGCUAACUUUGGGCGAAAUUUAGUUUACAGUUGAAAUGAUACUAG